rnacentral:rRNA from 1 species
GUCCAAGGCCAUAUCACCCUGAUUAUGCCCAAUCUUGUCUGGUCUCGAAAGCUAAGCAGGGUCAGCCCUGGUUCGUACUUGGAUGGAAGACAGAUCUUCAGAAGAGACUGUCAGAGACAGCAGUUUGGAGA